rnacentral:rRNA from 1 species
CAUGCAAGUCGAACGCGAAAGUGGAGCAAUCCAUGAGUAGAGUGGCAAACGGGUGAGUAACACGUGGGUGACCUGCCUUGGAGUGGGGGAUAACGUUCCGAAAGGAGCGCUAAUACCGCAUGACAUCCCGCGUUUGGAAACGCGGUGAUUAAAGCCGGGGAUCGCAAGACCUGGCGCUUGAAGAGGGGCCCGCGGCCGAUUAGCUAGUUGGUGGGGUAACGGCUCACCAAGGCGACGAUCGGUAUCCGGCCUGAGAGGGCGGACGGACACACUGGGACUGAGACACGGCCCAGACUCCUACGGGAGGCAGCAGUGGGGAAUUGUUCGCAAUGGGCGCAAGCCUGACGACGCAACGCCGCGUGGAGGACGAAGAUCUUCGGGUCGUAAACUCCUUUCGAUCGGGAAGAACGCCUUUGGAGUGAAUAACUCCGGAGGGUGACGGU